GUCAUAUCAAGAGUUAUUAACGAUGCCUUCUGGUCAAAAAGUCGGAUGAUUUUUGCGCGGGAAAAACUGUAAUGUAUUGUACAGAUGCUUAUAUGAAUCAUUUAUUAAAUAGGAUUGUUAUGCAAUGCAUGUUUUGUUUAAGACUGAACUCUUUAAGGCAUAACUAUUUAUGUAAUAAUAUCUAUUUAUGUAAAUUAUCUGUUUAAUAAACUGCACGCU
rnacentral:lncRNA from 1 species